rnacentral:rRNA from 1 species
CCCUGGCAGUCAGAGGCGAUGAAGGACGUGCUAAUCUGCGAUAAGCGCCGGUAAGGUGAUAUGAACCGUUAUAACCGGCGAUUUCCGAAUGGGGAAACCCAGUGUGAUUCGUCACACUAUCAUUAACUGAAUCCAUAGGUUAAUGAGGCGAACCGGGGGAACUGAAACAUCUAAGUACCCCGAGGAAAAGAAAUCAACCGAGAUUCCCCCAGUAGCGGCGAGCGAACGGGGAGGAGCCCAGAGCCUGAAUCAGCAUGUGUGUUAGUGGAAGCGUCUGGAAAGGCGCGCGAUACAGGGUGACAGCCCCGUACACAAAAGCGCAUGUGCUGUGAGCUCGAUGAGUAGGGCGGGACACGUGGUAUCCUGUCUGAAUAUGGGGGGACCAUCCUCCAAGGCUAAAUACUCCUGACUGACCGAUAGUGAACCAGUACCGUGAGGGAAAGGCGAAAAGAACCCCGGCGAGGGGAGUGAAAAAGAACCUGAAACCGUGU